GAUGAAGAACGCAGCGAAAUGCGAUAAGUAAUGUGAAUUGCAGAAUUCAGUGAAUCAUCGAAUCUUUGAACGCACAUUGCGCCCCUUGGUAUUCCGAGGGGCAUGCCUGUUCGAGCGUCAUUAUAACCCCUCAAGCUCAGCUUGGUGUUGGGGCCUGCUGCACUGGCUGCCCUUAAAAUCAGUGGCGGCGCCAUCUGGCUCUAAGCGUAGUAAUUCUUCUCGCUAUGGAGUCCUGGUGGAUGCUUGCCAUCAACCCCCAAUUUUUCUAUGGUUGACCUCGGAUCAGGUAGGGAUACCCGCUGAACUUAAGCAUAUCAAUAAGCGGAGGA
rnacentral:misc_RNA from 1 species